CCUACGGGUGGCUGCAGUGGGGAAUAUUGGACAAUGGGCGAAAGCCUGAUCCAGCCAUGCCGCGUGUGUGAAGAAGGCCUUCGGGUUGUAAAGCACUUUCAGUGGGGAAGAAAGCCUUGGGGCUAAUACCCUCGAGGAAGGACAUCACCCACAGAAGAAGCACCGGCUAACUCCGUGCCAGCAGCCGCGGUAAUACGGAGGGUGCGAGCGUUAAUCGGAAUUACUGGGCGUAAAGCGCGCGUAGGCGGUCUGAUAAGCCGGUUGUGAAAGCCCCGGGCUCAACCUGGGAACGGCAUCCGGAACUGUCAGGCUAGAGUGCAGGAGAGGAAGGUAGAAUUCCCGGUGUAGCGGUGAAAUGCGUAGAGAUCGGGAGGAAUACCAGUGGCGAAGGUGGCCUUCUGGACUGACACUGACGCUGAGGUGCGAAAGCGUGGGUAGCAAACAGGAUUAGAUACCCGAGUAGUC
rnacentral:rRNA from 1 species